rnacentral:hammerhead_ribozyme from 1 species
GUACUGAUGAAGAGUCCCAGACAAGUGGGGCGAAACAUCUGUCCAGUAC